rfam:Alligator sinensis unplaced genomic scaffold scaffold777_1, whole genome shotgun sequence
GAUGAGAUGGCCAAGGGUUAAGGUGAUGGAUUGCUAAUCCAUUGUGUUCUGCAUGCAUGGGUUUGAAUCCCAUCCUUGUUG